GGUGAAUUCUUAAAACACAGCCACAUAAAAAAGUGUGAUUCAUUCAAAGUAGCCUUAGCGGAGUAAGAACGAGACUGGCGUUCGUCAAAUUACUAUCACACAGAGUAACGCAGCUAAAGUCACUGUAUUUUUGUGGUAGGAGGCAGCUACAUGAUUUUAUUUUUUUUAAAAAUGGAUUUGAAGUUUUUUUCGUGUUUGUUGCUUUCUCUCGGCUCCCUCGCCUCAGCUCAGCAUGCCGACGGUCAGACGUGCAAACGAGGCGAAUUCUGGAACACGGACGCUGGCGAGUGUAUAGAGUGUGAUCUGUGUAAAACUCACCCAAAGACACCGUCCUGUGAUGCAUGUAAGAAACACUGUCUGUUUGCGAGCGGGCGGAGAGCUCCGGUCUUGAUGUAUGGAUGGUCGUGGCGCUGGCCAGCCUCUCUCUCAUCGUCGUCAUAGCGACCGUGGUGAUCGGCGUGUACGUGCAGCAGUGGCGGGAAAAGAGAAGCGCGUCUCUUAGCGAACCCAUUGAAGAGACUGCUGGCCCGUUGUAUCCAGGAGCAUAGGCAACACACAAGCAGAGACCCAGUCUAAACAAGCUGAAACGCCACAUCAAUCAAAGCACUGAACAAUACACAAGACUAACGAGCAUCAGUGAAAACCCUUUAAAGAUGCAGACAGACAGUGGUCCUGCAGUCUAUUUAGGCUGCAGAAGUAGACUGAACCACAGGGUUGAACAUUUAUAUACAGGGCGAUUCAUAAUUCACGCAACCGUGUCGGGGGGGGGCUACUUAAUAAUGUCUGUCUGCGUUUUUUUUUUUUUUUUUAAAGCAGAAUAAAAAAAAAAAAAAAAAGACCAAACCAAUACUGUUGCGUGAAUUCUGAAUCGCCCUGUGAAUUCAGGGUGCGCUUGUAAUAUCAGUUGCCUUCAGGAAGCGUUUGUAACGUGCGGAUUUCAAAGUGACAGCGGCAAGCCAUCCUCCCCUCACCUUUACAACCGAGUAAAAGUGACGAUCGAACUUCCAGACGCCCGUCCGGAAGAGAAUCUUCUUCCCACCGCGGAGCGCUUUUUUAUAUUUAUUUAUUCCCCUCCUCGCCGCAACGAUUCCCCCCUGCACAGCUGCUGAAGGAGAGCCGAAGGUUCAGCGUGGUGUCCUCCGUGGGAACGAGGCAGCUCCCUCUUCCACAUCCAGGAACUCCAGAGCGGAUGUCAGCGAGCUACCGCCCCCUGGAGGACAAGCCUU